rnacentral:rRNA from 1 species
UUGGAUGACCUGCCUUCGAGACGGGGACAACAGUUCGAAAGGACUGCUAAUACCCGAUGGUCCGUCCUGGAUACGUCCAGGCCGGUAAAUGGUUGAUUCCGCUCGAUGAGGGGUCCAAGUCCUAUCAGCUAGUUGGUGAGGUAACGGCUCACCAAGGCUUUGACGGGUAGGCGGACUGAGAGGUCGACCGCCCACAUCGGGACUGAGACACUGCCCGGACUCCUACGGGAGGCUGCAGUCGAGAAUCUUCUGCAAUGGGCGCAAGCCUGACAGAGCGACGCCGCGUGGAGGACGAAGGCCCUCGGGUUGUAAACUCCUGUUACACGUUAUGAAAUGUACGGAUUACAUCCGUGCACUGACAAAGGCGUGGGAGAAAGUCACGGCUAACUUCGUGCCAGCAGCCGCGGUAAGACGAAGGUGGCUAGCGUUAUUCGGAUUCACUGGGCAUAAAGCGCGCGUAGGCGGCUCUUCAAGUCGGAGGUGAAAGCCUGCAGCUCAACUGCGGAACUGCCUUCGAUACUGUCGAGCUU